AAAAACAAUACAACACUUAGUGGACUAGGAAGUCCACCAUCAAAACGAAACAGCCCUGACAUAUGCCUCAACAUUCACCUCCAUCAUUAUAAAACAGAUCUGCAACUAUCUCACUGCAACUCCCCAAUCCAACAAAAUUACAUAAAAUGAAAGAUCCCAAAACCUUGGAGAGAGAGAAGCCAUAAGAAUGCCCAAUUCUUUCCCAAGAAUUCUCUUGUAAAUCCCCACUCUAAUUUUCAAAGGUUGCAAACUUGAAAUUAACAUAGAAGGUAACUGGCUUCAGAGUCAACUAGGAUAAUACUGGGCAUAUAUGCAGAGAGUAGGCAUAGUAGCAACUUUCAGGGUAUGGAAUAAUACAAAAGGAAAGGGAAGACCACAGAAUUCUCUCAGUCAUCUUAACUUGAUUUGGUACUAAGAAUAAGUUAUGUAUACACUUCCCACUGGCCCAUCUGUACGUUAAUAUAGAAAUAGAUUAUAUCCUGGCAACAAGGAAGUGAAAUACUCCUAUUUUUAUAUCAAUAUUGGGCACAAAUUAAGAGUUCAUCAAUAUAAUUUUACCUCAAUUGUAACCAACUGUGCAUAUAAGUUUACCUGAAUUGUUUGUCUGUGCUGCUUGUAUAUAUUGAUCUGUACAGUUGCUUUCUUCAACAAAGGGUCACUACUUUUCUGUACAUCAUAAUCUAUAUGUUCCUGCAAACAUAGUUUACAACUGUAAGCUCAAUAACUAGUGCACUGUUCGAAGUACAUGAUUGAAAAAUGAAGAAAACGGAGUGACCUUAUAACAAUUAAUGAAAGAUAAAAUGUAGUUCACAGAAUAAAACAUUCAAACACCACCAUCUUGAUAGUUAAACAAUUUCACUGUAAAAGCUAUUAAACUUAGCAGGAAAAAAAAUUUAAACUUUAUCUAACAUUUGAAUCUACAAUUUUCAAUUAGCAACUCUUGUCACAAAUGUUUAUUAGUGGGGUACGUUCUAAGAUAUUGUUAUUUGCUAAUUGUCGAGGAUUAUUUGGGAGUUAAAUCUCACAAGAAGGCGUAAAGAUCACAUUAGAAUUAGAUAUUUUACUAGGAAGCUAAAGAUCACAUUAGAACCACCCGCAGGAAUACAAAAAAACGACAUACCUUAUAGUCCAGUUGAUCAAAACCCUUGCAAACAAAUUCGAACAAGGUUCUUAAGUUCUCAGGGCUGGGUGCAGUUACAAAUAUAUUUGAAUACCUGUGAAGAUAUAUUUGUAUCGUCAAAACAUAGUACAUGAAUAUGAGUGUAGACAGCUACACAUACACCAAAACAGUUUUAAUACAUUGUAAAAGGCAUACUACCCUGCAGCAAUAGCUCCGGAAAUUGCCAAACCAAGUGCAGCCGAUUUUCCACGGCCUCGAGCAGCAAGCAAGGCAACAGUACUUCGGAGUGUCUUGUCCAAGAUUGCAUCAAGAAAUGUAGCAACAGCAUUUCCCUGUUGAAACAUUUACCAACUCAAACUAUGAGUCAUAUUAGUAAAUCACACAUGAUAGAAAAACUCAAAACUAAUACAAAUCAGAGAGAGUGCCUACCUGGUCCAACGUACAACAUUUCUUUAUUAAAGGGCCAACAGGAAAGGCAUCACUCAGCUGCUCUUUUAGAUCCUUCAGUUCCCUUUGUGACUCUGAUAUCCCUUCAGAGUCCUUCAAUCAUGAUCAGAAAACAAGAAAAAAGUUAUCAAAGUUAUCAAAGCUUCACAAACUCCUAGAAAGUAUCCUAAUAACCAUUCGGUAUACACACACUUGAAAAAUUACUUUUAUUCUUUUUGUCAUCUCGCAUAAGAUGCCACGAAAAUAAAGCAUUCCUCGAUUUAUCAGUUCCGUCCUAUAGAAAAGUUACAAGGCUAAAAGGUUACCUCUUUCACUGGAACUGGGGUAAUUGACCUCAUAUGAGAUGAAAUUGGUAAAAUAUUCAGCUCAUCAUCCAUUACUACACAUGAUUUGCAUGACGCAAGUGACAAUAAGAAACGCUCGUUAAAACGUCCAGUAGCCUUAGAAUGGGAUUCAGUUCGAAACCUAUCAUGAACAUCCUGAAAUCAAGAGGCGCUGAUAAGACUGUAUGGAGAUUUUUGCAUUUGAGAGAACGAGAAAGACAGUGUUGCAAAUAAAACAUGACAUAACGGAAUUGUUAUCAAAUAUAAUAUGUGGUGCAUGGCUAUUGCUAUAUUCGUUCUAAGUCCAUAAUGUAGUAAAACUAGAAACUACCUCAACAAGAAGAACAAAUAUUAUGAGGAAACCUAGUUGUUUUUUCUUCUUCUUUUUGGGGCUAGAACAUGAAAAGAAACAACUAGUCUACAUAGGCCCAACUGGGAAACUUAUAUGUUCAGCAGCAUUCUCUUAAAGAAAGUCAAGCAAUUGAAUCUACCAAAAGUCUUCUUGUAGCCAAGCACAUCAUUACGAAAAAAUUCGGAAACUUUUAACAUGGCUAGUUUUCAAGAUUUUGCGGUAUAUAAUAAGCAUAACCAUGCUGGCCUAAAAACUAAGCAUUAAUUGUGUGCAUGCGUAAGAGAAAGAGGUAUUAUUAUAUGCAUACCAUAACCAUGGUGUAGAGGUUGGUGAGUGAGGUUAGAGAAUGAAGCAACAAUAUGACUAGUCCACCUCCCUCCACUGUCUCUAUCGUUCUUGCUAGUAGAUUUGGAGUCAAGGCCUCAAAAUCCUAAUGCAGGAGAUCAAACUUAGUCAUAAAACUUAAAUCAAUUAUACAAGGGGUCUUGGCCAAACCAGUAAAUUUGUAAGUUUCAAGUUACCUGAAGUAUACACAUUCCAAAGGUAUUACCAAGAACUCUUUCUGAAUCCUUGUACAAGCAAUAAGUCAAUCCCCCACUUUCAACAAAAAGUGAGAAAGGAUCAACCUUCUCGGGAUCAAGCAGCCCCCUCUGCAUCAUCUUUUUUACUUGCUUAGCACGUUUUUUCUUGUGACUGCAUCAUGAAGUAGUCAAACGCAACGAAUCAAUAUAUUUUAAAAACGAAAUUCCGCCUUGCCUUAUAAUAAGGUGAAGAAUGGAAGGUAGAAGAAAUCAACCUGCUGAGCUCGAGCUUGUCCUUGUAGCACCACAACACAGUCGGGCGCGAUUUCUUUACUUCAUUGCUUAGCAUAUAAUGAAGAUUCACAAUCUGAAGACCAUAUAAAACUCCAUAUUAGCCAUUUUCCGUUAGUUUUCGAUAGAUUUUCGAUGAUAUUUCUUACCUUGUUUGAGGUUUUUAGUGUUACUCGGUGAGUAUUGCAGGUGAAAACAAGAAACAGUAAAACUGGUAAAAUUUUCUACCCAAUUCAAUUUAAAUCAUUGUUAUAACUCCUCAAAUUGAAUAGGAAUAGCAAAUAGGGAAUGGGAUAGGAAAGGCAGAAGAAAUUAGGAGUACCUGGUCACGGGAUUUGUCGCCGACGAUGACGAACAUGGAGCGGUGCCGGUUUUUGACGCCAUUGCUUAUUAGGGUUCGGAUUCGUUCGUCCACCUUCUUCCUCAUUCUCUCUCUCUCUUCUCUCUCUGUGCAAUUAGGUUUAGGGUUUAUACCAUAGGGCAGUUGUCGUCGUCGGGCAGGGUUUAAGCCGAACUAGUGAGAGAGAGACUAGACAUCGCGGAGAGAUAUUGAGUUCAUCUCAACCGUUGAUUGGCUAUCUGAUGGCUGUUAUCAAAGCUGACAUAAAAAUGAAAACUCAACACGUGGCCAAGUAUUUUUUUUCUCUCUUUUUUGGCUUAUUUAUUGAUUUGCCCCAGAAAUUAUUUUUUUUGUCUUACUCUAGGUCAUGAAACAGAAUUUAUCUUACUUUAUCUUCUAAAACUACCAAAAUCGAGUCAUUUCACCCAUGUUUUGUCAAUUCUAUCUCAUAAACGUUAAAUAAAAGGGAGUCUAAACAUUUCAUACCAUGCUAGCAAAGAUGAGCCACUGUUGUUGGUGAGGUACGAAAUUUUCAAACUUUCCUAAACCUUUAAAACUUAAAAGGUAUCUUGAAUAUGAACGUAAAUGAGGUAAAGUUGCUCAAUUUUGGCAAUUUAUGAAGGGUAAAAUGAGACAAAUUCAAUUUAAGGCUAAAGUGAGAGUAAAUGGCAGUUUCAUGAGAUAUAUCAAUAAAUAAAUCUUUUCUAGAAUACAACUAAAUUAUGUACUCACGGUAAAAGAUAAAUUAAUAUCGAACUUGUCAUUGACGAUAUCUAAACAUAAAACCUUUCAAGUUUUUACCUAUAAGAAUAAAUUUGGUAUAGUAAUUUCUUUUCUAAUUUAAAGUUUCCCAUAGAGUUAUGACGAAUUUGAUACCAAAUUAGGCUGUCAUUGUGUGGCAUAGCCGAAUUCCUCCUCCCUUACUUUAAAAAUAACGAUGUACUCAAAAAAAGUUUCCCAUAGAGUUAAAAUGAUCUUUAGUUGCUUGCUGAGACAACCCAUAUGUAUAAUAAGACAUUGAAAAAGGUGCCUCUGUCAUUUACACUCACACGAUCGAAUAAGUAGCUCCGACAGUUGCAUCAUAAAAUUAAGGGGUUUUCCGAGAUUGUAGUAAGGUUGACGAUUAAAGUUUGGGAAAUUUUCAGGUUAAGGAAUCAAGGGAUCACAUUUUCAAGUUUCGUAGGCAUUCUCUUUCCUUUGGAAUGGUGUUGGAAUCCGUCCUGAAGUUGCCCAUUCCUUUGCUCUUGAUUUUCAGAGUUGGAUAGCUAUAAACCUUAGGACACAUUGUACCACCAUACAUGGUUUACCUUGGAACCUUAUCUUUAAUUCAACUCUCUGGCAUUGCUGGAAAUGGAGGAAUAACUUUGUCUUCAAUGAUGGCCAACAACCGCUUGACUCACCCCAGAAUUUCAUUUUUCAAUUUGCAAGGGAAUGGUGUGAUGCGAACAAGUGUUCUUCUAGUAAGCCUCCUAGACAAAAUCAUCUCAAUCCAUUGGAUUCGUUUGCCAAUUGGUAUACAAAAUCAAUACAGAUGGGAGUUGUAAAGACCCAUUUAGCCACAUAAGUGCUGGAGGUUUGCUUCGUAAUUCUGAAGGGAAAUGGAUUAAGGGAUUUGCUGCUAAUUUGGGCAGAGGAACCAUCAUGGAAGGUGAGCUUUAAGGGUGGUUUCAUGGGACUUUCUAUAGGUUGGGAUGAGAGUUGCAAGGAAGUGAUUAUUGAAUGUGAUUCUUAUGCUGCUGUUACUUUGAUCCAACAACCUAUUUUAGUUCCCACUCUACAAUCUCAUUAUUGACUGCAAAGAAGCCAUUGAAAGAAAUUGAAGAUGUGAAGUUACUCAUAUCUAUAGAGAAAAUAAUGUCUUAGCUAAUCACACGUCUGACUUAGGUCAUGGGUUAUCACUUGGUCUUCAUGUUUUUGCUUCUCCUUCUACCAUUGCUACUAAUUUUAUAGUUUCUAAUACUAUUGGCAGGGCCCUCCCUAGAGCUGUUUUUUAGUAGCUUUUUUGUUUUGCUUGUUGGGCUUUGCCCUCUUCUGUACCCAAAAAAAAAAAAAAAAAAAAAAAUAUUGGGAAAUUUAUUUGGACCCAACUUUUUUAUCUCUACACCCAAAUAAUAUUUUCUCUUAUCUAAUCUUCCAAAUUUGUCCUUAAAUAACAAACAUUGAAGUUUUCUUUGUAUCUCUACACCCAAACCCCACGAUCCACCACUGUAGGGCGCUCCAUUAUUUCCGACAAACCCAACUCAAACGCCAGCAACACUAAAAUCGACAAAUCAAGACUGGAGAACAAAUGGUGUAGGAGUCCUAAUGUGAAUAUUAAAGCAAACUUAAGUUGCAAAACCCUUUUUUAUUUCAAUCGAUGAAAGGACCUUGGGUUAUGAACAUAAGGAACCUAUUAGGGUUUAGAGGUCCCCUCCACAUCAUAUGCAUAAGCCCUUUUUCUUCAUUCAUUAAUUUACGGAAGGGAAAAUUAAUACUAUUAUUCUCAUAAAAAGUGGGAAUACCAAGGAAAGAGAUCCUCUCCACACCAUAUAUUUUUCUUUUCUGAGUAGUUAUAUCCAAUGGAGAGAGGAAAACAAGAGCACCAAUGGUCGCAGGUUCACCGGAGAAAAUGAAGGUGCAGUGGUGAUGUGAGUUUAGGGUUAUUGGGUGUAAAGAUAACAACUUUAAUAUUUAUUUUCUCAUUUUUAUUUAUUUAAGGGCAAAUUUGAAAGUUUAGUAGAGAAAAUUUGUUAGUUGGGUGUAGAGAUAAAAAGGUUGGGUCCAACAAAAUUUCUCAUAAAGUUUAAUCACGCGAUUAAGUUCUUGUGCAAUGAGUAAAUUGUAGCAAUGACCCAUCAACUAAAAAUCCAUUAUUAUUGAUCCCUCAACUCAUCAAAAUAUGUAGUUAUGGUCAUUUUCGUCAACUUUGUAAGAAUUUUGUCAAAAUAAAUUAUGUUGGAAGGACCAUUGUUACAAUUAAGGUCCUUCAACUCAUCAAAACAUGUAGCUAUGGUCAUUUUCGUCAACUUUGUCAAAAUGAGUUAUGUUGGCAUGACCAUUAUUGCAAUUGGGUUAAAGUUGAGGAAUCAUUGCUCCAAUUGGGUUAAAGUUGAGGGAUCAUUUCUCUAGUUAGAUUAAAGUUGGGGGACCAAUGAUAAUUAAGUUUUAGUUAAGGGAUCAUAGUUGCACGUUUUGAUGAGUUGAGAGAUCAAUGAUAAUGAAUUUUUAGUUAAUGGAUCAUUACUCCAAUUGAGUUAAAAAUAAAGGACCAUUGCUACAAUUUACUCUUGUGCAAUAGAAGAUUAAUUUGGCCGAACAACCUGAUUAAGGUGCCUACUUUCUCUUUAAUUCAUUGGUAUCAUUUAUUUUCCCUUAAGCUGAAUUAUGCUCAAUUUAUGUAUCAAUAUUGUAAAGUUGUCUUUGUUAGAGUAAUUUGGACAAUAUAAAUUGAAAAUUAUUUGUGUAUAUGGAAAAGAUUAACCUCAGGGGUCACUUCGCCGGACUCCGUAGCAAUCUCCACCACUCCAAUCGUAAUGGUGAGUAAAUCACUUGUGUUUGUUUCCAUUUUUUCAAUUGGAAAUUGGGGGUUUUGAAUUCAUAUUUUGUCAAUUGGUUUUGUGAGCACUGAGAAUACACUACGAGCUUGUGUGUGUGUACAAUAUGUUGGAUUUGAUCUUUAUAAAGAAUGCGAGAAAUUGGGGUUAGGAAAGAGAAGAAAAGGAAACAGAACUCGAACUUCGAUCUUCAUUCUUGUUACUAAAGGAGAAAACCGAAUUUGAACCGGUUCAUACGUAAUCGAACCGAAUUUGUAUAGUUCGGUUCACCCCUUAGUACCGAACCGUACCAUACCAAAAAAAAUUUCUUGAGUUUGGUUUUGAUACAUCCCUCAUACUGUACCAUACCAAAUCGUGGCCAGACCUACUGAAUACAAAACUUAUAUCUGGGUCGUAAGUCGUAAGGCCUCCAAAAAAAAAGUUCAUAUUAUUCAUACCAAUCGGACAAAUCCCGCACCCAAAAACAAUGGCUAGAUAGAAAGUUCAAUUAUAGAUUAGGUAAUCUAUCCUUUUCAACUUAAAUGCACAUUCAUGAUGGUUAUGCAAAUCAUAUUAUGUUAACAAAUGCAACAAUUAAUUAUAUUUAUCCAUUUGGAAUGAUAUAUAUUUUCAAAGAUGGAAUUACAGACCCCGUUGACGUUGAGGCCAUUGCAUGAGAGAAUUUUAGAUGAUUUUCAAUUAAUUUAUAUUAUUGUUGUGAUAACCAUAAUAAUUAUUUUCUAAAUGUAAAACUAUAUUAAUGAAAUUUUCUUUGUCGGUCAAAAGAAGAUGAAAAGAUAUCUUUAUCUUCUAUCACAACAAAAAAAUUAAGGAUAUUAAUGUAAUAGGCUAAUAGCGAUGGGGUGAAGAAAUGGAACUAUCCUAAAUAGGCAGUUGCUGGUUAUAUUGGAUCAGGUGGUCUGAAUGAUUGGAUAAUUAGCAAAUAAAAAGGUUCCAUUUUUCAUGGACCCUCAAGUGGAAAUAUGGGAUAAAAGAUGGCAUAUACCAUUUUAUCCAUUUGUGAUUGUACAUUUUGAUGGUUGUGAUUUCACCCGAUGGCGCGGCAAGUGUGGAUUGGGAUAAGGAUGGUUUUGGUCUAUCAUCAAAGAUGGUUUGAUGUUCACGACUGGAUUUUACAACGCAUCCAAGUGCAUGGGUUCUAUAAAUACAGAGUUGCGCACAAUAAAAAAGUACAAAGGACCUUCAAACCUUUCACACACUCUGAGAAACUCCUGAUUCUCCCAACUUCGUCAACACAUCUUCAAUUUGGAUUAACAUCACUGUUUGUCAGUGAGGAGUCCUUAGUCUUCUCGUCUCAUUAGCCCUCUAGGUGAAGUGAGGUGUUACUGAAUUACUUGAGUAUUCAGCACAUUGAAAGUCGAACCUUAUUUGAACUUCACAGUAGUUAGCAAUCUUAUCUUCAGGUUUUAGAACCCAAUGCCAAGACAUAUUCCUUCCUCGACAGUGAUGGUUUGUACACAAAAGUUGGUUUGUACACAUAAGUCAGUAUUGUGUUUGACACACCAUCCCAUUCAUUCUACUAGCCCACAAACGCGUGGACUCGUCCAAAAUUACCCCACUCUCGGCCCGUUCACUUGCCCACUCGUCCCACGCGGCCCGUGAGUCUUCAGUGCCUGAUAGGGGGGCCUACUGUUAGGGCCGUUGUUGGCCACAACCCAGAGCCCAACGAUUUUUUUUUGCAUCCCACGACUGGCAUUUUUGGACCGUUGGUUGAUCCAACGGUCCAGAUUCAAAUUUUGUUUUUUUAAAUGUUAUUUUAAAAUACAUUGAAUCCAACGGCUGAGAUCGAAUAUAAUCAAAUCUAACGGUAAAAUAAAAAAAGAUAAAAAAAGAUAUAACAGUCCAAAUUUAAAUCCAACAGCUAAAAUAAUUUUAAAAAAAAUUAUUUAACUCAAAAUUCACCCAAAAACUCUAUAAAUACCUUUGUAUUUGUUCAAACAUCCACACAAAACUCAAUUUUCUCCCACAAUUCUUCCAUUUUUUCUUUCUACCAUUUCUUUCCAUUUCCAAAUUGUUCAACACGAUCCUUGAAUUGGCCAUCCCAAGCAGUAAGACAAUUCUUCCACUCCCAAAGCAUACAAUCGAGACUUCCUAUCAUGUCAGGAAAGCCUAUUUUGUCUGCUUUGAGUAGAAUGUGACGACAUGUCCCGAAUUAUUAUAUAUUUUUCUCCCUAAGUGUGUAAAGUGACGGUAAUGCCCUCGUGAUUUAGUGACGUGGAUGUACAUAUGUAGUUUUAAAUUAUUAUUUCUAUUGUCGUAGUUAAAUUGUACUCGACGCCAUGAGUGUGUUGAUGUGACCUAGGGCUAAAACAAAUUCGUAACGAAGAAGUUACGAACAGACGAGUGUGUAAAUGCGUAGAAAUAUAUUUUUAUGGGUUGGCUAUACCUUACCCACCAAUCACCUUAAUUCCUGAUUUCUUUGGCCUAAUUGAAUUAAAAAUAUCUCUCAUUUUUCCUUCUGCCCAAUCACGCACAUACACACCAUCACUCUCUCUCUUCUCUCGGACCUUCUUCUUCUUUCUUCUCAUUCCGUACACCCGAGCCACCCUUACCUCACAAUCAUCAUCAAAACAUUAUGGAUCGAAUUGGAAAUCACUACCAUCGCAGUCACCUCGAUCCCACGAACUCAUUGAUACCCUUAGGUCGAGGAAUAGACGUCGGGAAUUCGAGAACUCGGGAGCUCUGGCGAGGUGUAUUUUUCUACUUUGUGAUCGUGGUCUUUUUCUAUGGUUUAAAGGCUUGAGGUGGGUCCUAAUCAACUUUAUAGGGACCCUAGAUUAGUUUUGGAGCAGUUUGAACGUUGGAAUAGGUGAGAACAUGGAGUUGCAGGUUGGCCGGUUGAUCCAAGCCUUACUCCGACCACUUUCUGUCGGUUUUAGAACCUCAAGUAGGUAAGAUUGUAUUCUUCUAGUUGAGAGUUUCAAAUCCAUAUAAAAUUCAUGGAAUUUGGUUGAAAAAUGAUGAAGAUAUUAAAGUUUUAAGAUUUUUCCAAAAAUCAGCGACACAAACGGCGCCCGACGGCCAGCGAUGGAUUCCGACAAAGCCAUCGGAGAAGGAGGAGAAUAUUAUGUCUAACUUUGACAGAAUAUACUAACAGCGUCAGGUAACUCUAUUAGUUUUUAAACAAAAUAUUCUACUAUUUAAUGAAAUAUUCCCUAACGCCGUUAGGGAUUCCGUGCCUGCACGUGCCGGCUUAUGAGGGCGCGUGAGACGUCAGGAAAUUAAUCUAAAAAUAUUGGGGUGUUCGAGUUGUUGAGUAGGUCAUGUUGGUAUAUUCAAACACCCUAUUUGAGCAACGUAUGAGAAGUUAUUCCUAGGGUUUGUGUAUGUGCCUUAAAAUUAAUGUAAAAUUAGUUAUUUCGCAUAUAGGUGAGACUUACCCGGAGGACAAACGUGGUCAAACGAGACUUGGGGGCUACGAUCCUACUACUUACCAGUGAGCGGGCUUUUUUUUUCUAUAUAUAUGUAAAUAUGCUUAUGAAUCCCAUAAACUACUUUAAAUGAACGUAUGUUUUAAAUGCCAUGUCGUGUGCAUUAUGUGUUAGUAUUGCAUUAGUAUAGCUAUGCAUAGUAUUGGAUGAGACUGCGCAGACUCAGGUAAGUUUCAGGUGAGUACAUCAUGAUGGUAUUGGGUGCGUGUGUGUGGUUAUACGUUGAUGCAUUUUGAGCUUAUUAUCCUGCACAUUGGUGUUAGUGUUCUCGCCCAUGGCCAGGGCAUAGUUUUUCACAUGAUGUUCACCUCCUGGGCCGCACGCUCACUUUGGAUCCAAGUUUGGUGCACAGCCAUAUUGCACAGACCACAAUAGGUGGUUCCGACUCGUAGGUGACCUGCAAUUAUUUGCACAGCCUUCACGUGAUCGUAGCACUUAAGCGUACUUAUCUACACCCAGCCCUGUUGUACAGACCACAAUAGGUGGUUCCGACUUAUGUGCAUGCAUACUUGAUGAGCUAUAGAUUCAAUUGUACAGGUUACAUUAGGUGACUCCGGUUGGCAUACUAUUUUAGGUUGAUUCGUAUCACCUGGCUUACACAUUUUAUGGUUGAACAUCUUGACAUGGCAUACCUCUGUUUUCACUGCUCUAAGCAUUAUCCUUAUGUACCUAGUUGUUAUUAUUUUCUGGAAAAUUAUAUGGGUUUACAGUGAGGGGUUAGUAUGUUCAUAAAGACAACUGUGUUUUCAAAAACUUUGUUUUUGCCUACUCACAUUUUUUGUUUUGCACCCUUUCAGGUUCUAGGUAGUUGGUCAUCCUUGGUGGCUCACGAGGACUUUCACGGCGGUUCUGACAUCUCUGUAAAUAAGUAGGGAUUUUUUUCCCUGUUUGUAUAAUUAGUACUUAGUUGGUUCGAUUGCACUUUCGUUUACCCAUGCUCUGAUAUUUGUAUAACUUGCUUGGUCAUCUUUACUCACUUAUAUUAUCUUAGUUUAGAUAAGUUUGGUUUUAGGUUUUUAUUUAUUCGCAUUUCUUUUAUUAUUACUUCUGUUGCGCAUUUUGGCUACGUUACUCUUACGUGACGGGCAUCAUGUUUCGACUUCGGUUGGGGUGUGUCAUAAAAGCCUCUUCAAGUCUUCAUGAUUUGGCUUGCAGAGAUAUGUGGCUCCAUAUGUGGCCUGAAUUGCCCCACAGAAGCGCUCCAGGUUUUUAAUAGCAGUAGUCUCCGCAAGUCGGCAAUACUCAUCAGUUGAGUUUGCAGAGCACUCAUUAGCUAGCAUCCGAAAUGCAGAUGUGAGCUUCUGAUGAGGUGAUAGACUUUGUCGGCCUACGACAUUUAUCUUCCUUGCAAAGUAGUGGUCAUGAUUGACAACUGUGUUCAAGAUGCUUUCAAAAAUCUCUCUCCUCAUUCGAAACCGUCUCCGAAAAUCAUGAGCAGGAAAUCUCGGACGCUCAAUAAAAUAAUAUUUCAUCAUUCGGUCAUGACACUCUUCUCUAUCACGUUGCACAAAUGAACGCUUCGUGACAUAACCACAAUAGCUAGAUUCGACAUGGUGCUCAUAUUGCAUAAGCGAGUUUGGAAGUUUAGCUUAUGCGUUGAUCAUUUUUGAAUCCUCAAUGUCAAGGCUUGCUUGGUAUUAUGUCAUUUGCAUUGCCCUGCUACACCUUCUUCUAUCAUCCAUUGUUGAUAUAUUGAGGAUUUUUAUGAAACAAAAACACUUUGAAAGUUGAAAGAUUAGUGAAUAUAGGGAAUGAUUGAAGGUUGAAAGAUUGUGUGACCAACUGAUAUUGAACAUGUGUUUAUAUAGAGGAUGAUUGAUGAAAGUUGAAAGUUUGGUGAAAGUUGAACGGUUGGUGAAAGUUGAAGAUUUGUGAAAGUUAAAGACUUGCUUUGUGGAAAGAUUUAGUGAUUUUUUCAAUAUUUAUUGGAAUUUAAAUAUUUUUAUAUUAAAAUGUUCAUAAAAUUAAUUUACCAUAGGCUACAUAAUUUUUUUUAAAAGUUAAUUUAAGAAAAAAAAUUAGCCUAAGUUCAUUCUUUAAUAAUCCCGAACUAAAAUUUUAGGCUAGGGUUGGAGCAGAAAAACUGUUUCUGUGUUAAAAGCUAAAUUUUUUAGAUUAAAAAUUUUAAAUUUUAACCCAAAGGUUGGAGAUGAUUUAAGAAUGGAUAAACUUAACCAAGAAAAGAAGAAAAAAGAUGAAGGGCAAAUAAGUGAGAAGCAACAUGACACGACACACGGACGACCAUAGCAAUAAAGCGUGCGUCCUCACGUCCAUUGAAUAUAUAGAUGGGAGCUACAACAUCGUGUUUCACGUGCAUGUGUAUUAUACAUAAAGGCAUAUACAGUGUUAGCUUAUAUAUUAUAAAGUUUGUAGGCCACUUACCCAAUUUGGCAUAUGUUUUAUCUUUUUACGUGAAUAACCAAUGUGUUAUGAUGAUACAAGUCUCUUAACAUAUCCGGAGUUAGAAAUAUCAUAAGACAGUGUUGCGAUCAUAUUGAAAUUAAUUGACAGUUUGUAUUAUAUAUUUGAUUAUUCUUUAUUAACUUAAGGAGACAGCAUACUUAGACCUAAUUUAGUCACAUUCUCCAACCGAAAAUAAAGCGGUGUAGUAUUCAUACACUUUUUUUUAUUUCUUACACAGUCUUAAUUAAUUUCUAUUGUUUGAUCUUCUUCAAUUCAUUCGAUCUGACGACCGAAAAUUAAGAUGGUGUGUGGACGAGUAAAUUAUAACAAUGGUCCCUCAACUUUAAUCAAAUUGGAGCAAGGGUGCUCAACUAAAAAUCCAUUACCAUUGGUUCCUCAACUCAUCAAAAUGUGUAGCUAUGGUCAUUUUCGUCAACUUCGUUACAAUUUUGUCAAAAUAAGUUAUAUUGGAAUGACUAUUGCUACAAUUGGGGUCCCUCAACUCAUCAAAACGUGUAGCUAUGGUCAUUUUCAUCAAUUUCGUUAGAAUUUUAUCAAAAUGAGUUUUGUUGGAAUGACCAUUGCUACAAUUGAAUUAAAGUUGAGGGACUAUUAUUUCAAUUGAGUUAAAGUUGAAAGAUCAUUUCUUCAGUUGUAUUAAAGUUGAAGGAUCAAUGGUAAUGAAUUUUUAGUUGAGGGGACUAUAGCUGCACGUUUUAAUGAGUUGAGAGAACAAUAAUAAUGAAUUUUUAGUUGAAAAACUAUUACUUCAAUUGAGUUAAAAUUAAGAAACAAUUGCUACAAUUUUUUUAUAUGGAAAGUGGAUGAUGUGAAUAGCACAUCCAAAAAUAAAAGGGAACUUUAACGAAAAGCACCCGGUACUGUUCACUUUAACGAAAAACCACAUUUUUACACUAAAAAGUCAAUCCUGGUACUAUUCACUUUACCCUUUAUUUUGUCCUUAUCAUUAAAACUCAAAGUUUUCAAGCCCUUUUCAUUAGUUUUCCUAAAAUAAAAUGCACCACAAUUUGGUAGGAUCUUCCUGUUGAGAGUAAUAAAUUAAUAAUUGCCGAAAUAUUGGAUAAUUUGUCGGCCACAACGCUAUGAGGGAGUAUCUGGGGAUGAAUAUACUCUUGCCGACAGAUGCCCAAAUUCCAACUGCCAUUCAAAUGAGCCCUCCACCACCACCGGCCAUAAUAAAUUCUCUUUCUUUAGUGAAGAAGAAAAAGAGGUACUUGGCCCUCACCUCAACUUUUUGAGAAAGAACAAGUUUAUCGCUAUCAGAAUGUUUCGGUCAAUUAUAUAAGUUAUGUGUAAAUUUUUCUUUAGAUAACAUUACAUUAUUAUAUUUAAAAUGUUCCGUAACGAUAAAUUUGUUUCAUACAAAUUAUUCUCCAACUUCUUGGAUUUUUCUCCUUUUUCCCGAAAACCAGCUUAUAUUAGUGUUCAUCCUCUGUCAAUAUCACUCGCCCACAACUAUUCAACUAACUUUUAAUAAUUUGACAACGUGUCAUAUUUUUGUGCAAAGCGGGCCCAUUUUUGUGGGUGAUAUAAUAAUGGCGUAUGUGGUUUGUCAAGACAUAUACUCAUUUAUCCAUUAGCAGUUAGGUAAGUCACCUCACUCACCCACAGCCUAACACAUCAACAAAUAUUGCUUACAAAUUCUAGAAAAUUCGACCAAGAAAAAAAACCAAAUGCUCGCAAAUUAAAAUUGUGUAACAUGAUUAGUUUUUUAUCCAUUAGUAUUAAUUUUACGUUGGAAGAAAUUCCAAAUUUAUUCUUGUAAAGAGGGAUAUGAAAAUACUUUGUAUGUCUAUCACCAAAAUCUUCGAAUGUUUGAAUGGUUGAUUUUCAAGUCUCACACAAUUGGAUUUAGUUCAAGUGAGAAAGAAAUACACUCAAACUAUUAGAUAUGAGGAAUGAAAAUACACUACAAAAUCUUGUGAACAUUUCUAAUAUUCUCUUCUAUCUACUUUUUGUGAACCAAGUUUUUAUUUGUUUUUUUUUUUAACAAAAGAUAUUUUUUAUACUAGGGAAAUAAGGUGGGUUUAGCCUCAUAAUGGGCUAACAUAAUCUAGUUCAAACUUGCAUUUGGUGAGAAUCGAACCUAAAAUCUCUCACUUACAAGUGAAGAGGAAUACCAUUAGAAGUGUCAUGAAAUUAGCAGUCUUAUAUGUAAAAAAUUGAUUGACUAAAUGCUGUGUUAAAAAACAAGAUUAAUACUUGCAUCUCCCCACUUGGAAAAUGCAAAUAUUUCAUUUCUUGCAAAUAACGUAUAUCAUGCGUUCUGUUCAAUCGCAUAUUCAAAAAUGUUAAAAACAAGAUUAAUAUUUCUAUCUCCCCACUUGGAAAAUGCAGUAUUUCAUUUUUUACGAAUAACGUAUAUCCUGUGUUCCGUCCAAUCGCGUAUUAAAAAAAUGUGUGAAGUUUGGAUUAACUACACUCUUUGAGAAUUUCCUUAAAUAACCACUUUUUGAAAAUUUCUUAUAGGACUAAGUGAGUCUCCGCUGAGAAUUUCCUUAACUAACACAACACUACUUGAGUGAUAAUUUGUUAUAUCUUGAAUAGAGAAUAAAUCAGUUCCCUACUUUUGAAGGUACUAUUAACUUACACUAUAUUUGAAUGAGAACAAUAAACUUAGAAUUUAGAUGAAGGAAAUAAAACAGUUUCCUACUUUUGAAGGUACUACUCGAGUGAUAAUUUGUUAUAUCUUGAUAACGUGUCAUAUUUUUUUGCUAAGCGGACCCAUUUUUGUGGGGUGGUAUAAUAAUGGCGUUUGUUGUUUGUCAAGGGCAUAUACCCAUUUAUCCAUUAGCAGUUAGGUCACCUCACUCACCCACAACCUAGUACAUCAACAAAUAUUGCUUACAAAUUCUAGAAAAUUCAACCAAGAGAAAGAAAACCAAAUGCUCGCAAAUUAAUCUGUGUAACAUUAGUUUUUAUCCAUUAGUAUUUAUUUUACAUUGGAAGAAAUUCCAAAUUUAAUCUCGUAAAGAGGGAUAUGAAAAUACUUUGUAUAUCUAUUAUCAAAAUCUUUGAAUGUUUGAAUGAUUGAUCAUCAAGUCUCACACGAUUGAAUUUAGUUCAAGUGAGGAAGAAAUACACACAAACUAUUAUAUAUGAGGAUUGAAAAAUACACUACAAAAUCUUGUGAUAACAUUUCUAAUAUUCCUUUCUAUCUACAUUUUGUGAUAAGUUUUUUUUUUCCUUUUUUGAACAAACUAUAUUUAUCUACAUUAAGGGAGAGGAGGUGAUCUUAGCCUCACAAUGGGCUAGCAUAAUGUGGUUCAAAUUCGCCUUUGGCGAUAAUCGAACCUAAAACUUAUCAUUUACAAGUAAAUAGGAAUACCACUAGAUGGAUCAUGAAAUUAGCAGUCUUAUAGGUAAAAAAAAAUUGAUCGACUAAAUGAUGUGUUAAAAAACAAGAUUAAUACUUGCAUCUCUCCACUUGAAAAAUGUAGAUAUUUCUGUGAACACGGAAAAUUCCUGAAACGAAAGAGACAAGAACAACGUGCACAAAAUAAUAUUUUGGUGUUAAUGGAUUUGUUGGGUUACGAUCUCUUUUAACUUGAUCCUCUGAUUCGAUCUCCGUAAGGUGUUGAUUUAUGGAUGUUUCGUUGAUCCAAGGGCUGUUGAGGCUUGAUCUUAGAUGAACUGUUGGAAGUUUCUUCAAGGGGCCGUGGGCUUGAUCUUUGAAGGUGGAUUUGAGCGGAUCUUCAAGGAGCCGUUGGGGCUUGAUCUUGAGGAUGAGUGUUUCUUCAAGGGCCGUUAAGGCUUGAUCUUGAAUAACGGUGAUGAACGGAUCUUCAAGGGCUUUUGGGCUUGAUCUUGAAGAACGGUUGGAUGUGUGGAUUUGUUGAUGUUGUUGAUCCAAGGGCCGUCGGAGCUUGAUCUUGGAAGAACGAUGAACGAAGAACGAAGAACACUUUCUUCAAAGGCCGUCGGGGCUUGAUCUUGAAUUGGUGAUUGUUGAUCCAAGGGCCGUCGGGGCUUGAUCUUGGAAGAACGAUGAACGAAGAACGAAGAACACUUUCUUCAAGGGCUGUCGGGGCUUGAUCUUGAAUUGGUGAUUGUUAAUCCAAGGGCCGUCGGGGCUUGAUCUUGAUUCUUCGGGAUGAACGGAUGAUGAACAAUGAACACUUUCUUCAAGGGCCGUCGGGGCUUGAUCUUGAAUUGGUGGAAGUUCUUCAAGGGCCUUUGGGGCUUGAUCUUGAAGGUGGAUGAUUGUUGAUCCAAGGGCCGUCGGGGCUUGAUCUUGGGAUGAACAGUUGUGUGGAUUUGUUGAACACUUUCUUCAAGGGCCGUCGAUGCUUGAUCUUGAAUUGGUGGAAGUUCUUCAAGGGCCGUUGGGGCUUGAUCUUGAAGGAGGAUUUGACGAAGAACGAAGAGGGCUUUCUUGAUCCUUCGGGAUUUGCUUGAAUUUGGGAGGUUGGAUGCUUGAAAGCUUUAGAGUUUCAAAGCUUCAAGGAUUUUGGAUGUGUGGGGAGUAUUCUCUUCCAUUUUGGGAGUAGAGAAAUGUAUUUGUGAAUUGGUUUUUGAUACCUUGAUGUAGAAGCCUAUUUAUAGGCUUUGAGAAUGAAUCACCACCACAAAAUAUUUUUUUUCUUUUCCAAGCACCAUUGCCUAAUUUCCCACUUAAUACAAUUUUAAACUUGAAGUGGUAAUUUUAUGGCCUAAUUUUCCACUUAAUAUCAUUUUAAACUUGAUAUGUGCAUGCUUUGUCAUUGCCCAAAAUGAGAAGAAAACCUUGUUUUGAUCUUCAAUGAAUUGAAAUGUGCUUGCCUUGUCAUUGCCCAAAAUGAGAAGAAAAACUUGUGUAAUCCUUCAAGGGUAUUUCUUUUUAUUUUGUUGAGUCGCACACCAUGUGUACAAUUUGUAUGACACGUGGCAUAUGCCAUGUACGCCUUGACACGUCAAAAUUUUAAUGCGUUGGUGAACAUUUAUUUCACCGCAAUUUCGGUGUCUACAAAUGCCCCCACUUCAAGGUGCGUCGUAUACAUGUGCUUGUCACGUGUAGGAGAUGCGUUUUGAAGUCCCUUACUGUAGAUGUCAAUCCAAUGGCCAUCGAGGCUUGAUCUUGAAUUGGGCUGGAGAUUUCUUCAAGGGCCGUUGAGGCUUGUUCUUGGACUUUGUUUGAAAUUUCUUCAAGGGCCAUCGAGGCUUGAUCUUGAAGGUUGAAAUUGGACCACAAGGAGCUUCAUGUGGUAGAUGAUCUUUGGCUUUGGUAGUGGAUGAAUCGGCACGUAUUUGUUUUUGCGCUUUGUUGACUUUCCACAGCUUUGAUCUUGAACUGGGUUGGAGGAUUUUUUGGAUUCCUCCAAUUGUUGAUUUUCCACAGUUUAUUCUUGAACUGGAUUUGAUUCAAAUAUGGUGGACGCUUGAUCUUGAAUCGGACUUGUGAUUUCCUCAAGGGCCGUCGAGGCUUGAUCUUGAAUUUGGCCGGAAACUUCUUCAAGGGCCGUUGAGGCUUGAUUCUUGAAGGUUGACUCGAACACAUGGCAAGCAGGCACGAGGUGAAGGUGACGACUUGUUGCUUUGUUCAAUCUUUCUAAUUCACACCUGAGCAGUUUGGUCAACGGUAUGAUCUUCAAGAUUGAUGGGCUCUUCUUCCAGUUGGUGAUUUGAUCUUUAAGGAUUUGAUUCAAGGGUGGUGAAACGGCACAUGCAGCCCACAACGCCUAGCAAGUCGACCCAAGAAUUUGAGGGUUAAAACGAGUCCUCCACCCAGAGUGAUUGCAAACCUGAUGAUAUGAGAUACUUUUGAUUUUGAAGAAGUAGCGGAUGAAUCGGCACGUGCUUUGUUGUGCUUGUCUCCACAUGCUUCAAUGUAUCAUUUUCCCUUGUCUUAUCUAUUCUUCUAGCAGAAUGUAGCAUCUUCUUAAGUUCUUCAACUCAGACUCCUUCUGCUGAGCUGACUGUGCAGGCUGCAUUAUUCUCUGCUUGUUUCUUUAGGCAGAUGUGGCAGCUUCUUGAGUUCCUCAGCUCGGACUCCUUCUGCUGAGCUGAUUGUGAAGACUGCAUUCUUAUCUGCUUGUUUCUUCUGUACGUUGUCUCCACAUGCUGCAAGGUAUCAUUUUCAAUUGCCUUAUUUGUUUUCCAGGCAAAUGUGGCAUCCGAGUUUGAGUGGAGGUUCUGGCAUAUUGUUUUCUUUAUCCUUGUCUUUGUAGGUAAGAACAAGGACAAAGGAAAGGACAGGGAGAACGCAUGAUAUGAUAUACUCUUGCUUUCUACCCUGGUGAUAUGAGAUACUUUUGCUUUGGUGUCAUUUGUUUGCAGAGGUACCCCAAGGAAUAAGAAACACUGAGUGACUCGAGAGGCUUUGUUGGGAAGGCAUUCUAGGAGAUGAAGAAAGGUUCUUGGAGAUGAAGAAAGGUUCUCGGAGAUGAAGAAAGGUUAUGUAUGUCUGCCUUGCUAUGGAGGGUAAAGGUGGACAGUUAUAGGAAAUUCUUUAGUACCUGUAGAGGUACUAUUCUUUUACUCGUGUCGGCAACCAAUGUGUGAUUGAUCAGUAUGGCUUCACGUGUUUUCUUCUUUAUCAGAAAUCUUCGACAAAUUGUCCGUAAUUUUCGUCAAGCUGAGUGUGCAUGUGACAGGUGUUGACGAGGCUGAAAAAGACUGGUGCCUCUUCGAUAUCUGGGAUCGGCGCUUCGACAAAUUGCCCGUGAUUUCCGCAAAGCUGAGUUUGCGCGUGACGGGUGCUGACGAGGCUGAAAAAGACUGGCGCCUCUUCGAUAUCUGGGAUUGGCGCUUUAACAAAUUGCCCAUGAUUUCUGCAAAGCUGAGUUUGCACGUGACGGGUGCUAACGCGUCUGGAAAAGCAAGAUGCUUCUCCGAUUUCUGAGCUUGCCUCUUUGAUUUUUGAAUUGGCCUCUUCGAAUUCUGAGCUCGCCUCUUCGAUCUUUGAAAUCCCAUCGAGUGUUGAUCUUUAUAGAGGCACGCAGUUCGUUUCAAAGCACACUUGAAUUUUCGCUUGUAGAAACUCCCUUCUUGCACUUCUAAGAUCUUGAUUUGUCCGACCUCUUCUUUCUUCAACACCUUUGAAAAUGUCUGGACCCUCCGACCGUCAUUUUGAUUUGAACCUUGGUGAAGAGGUAGUCCCGUCUUCUCCAGAUAACAUAUGACGCCCAUCUUUCAUAUCCCCUACUGGUCCUCUUACCGUUGGGGAUUCGGUGGUGAAGAAUGAUAUGACCGCUGCGGUGGUGGCCCGAAACCUUGUCACUCCCAGAGAUAACAGACUACUUUCCAAACGGUCUGAUGAGUUGGCUGUUAAGGAUUCUCUGGCUCUCAGUGUGCAGUGUGCAGGUUCUGUGUCUAAUAUGGCCCAACGCCUAUUUGCUCGAACCCGUCAAGUUGAAUCAUUGGCGGCUGAAGUGAUGAGUCUCAAACAGGAGAUAUUAGAGGGCUCAAGCAGAGAGAUAAACAGUUGCAUAAGCUCGCACAUAGCUAUGCGACAAACAUGAAGAGGAAGAUUAACCAGAUGCAGGAAUCUGAUGGUCAGAUUUUACUUGAUCAUCAGAGGUUUGUGGGUUUGUUCCAGCAGCAUUUGCCUUCGUCUUCUGGGGCUGUACCGCGUAAUGAAGCUCCAAAUGAUCAACCCUUGGCUCCUCUUCUUCCUGGAGUUCCGCCGAGUGGUGUGGCUUCAAACAGUCAACCUCCGACGCCUCUCAUUUCUGGAGCUCUGCUGAGUGGUGAGGUGGCACCUAAUCGUCCUUGAAGAUCCCCUCUUGUAAAUUUGAUUUGAUUUUUUUUUAAGUAUGUAUAAUGCAAAUUUAUGUAAAAUUUCCAGAAAAAAUAAAUAAAAACGGACUUUAUUUCUCUCAAUGCAUUUGUUUUGUUUUGUUUUUGUUUUUUUUGUUUUUUUGUUUUUGUUUUUUUUGUAAAUACAUAAUAACAUAUGUAUUUAUUUAUUUAUUCUUUUGUAAUAAAAUUGACUUUCUUUAAUAAAACUUUUAUAUUUUUCUUAUUUAUUUUGAUAUGACUGAACUCGAAAUUGAAUGUUCGAGCCGCCUACGUACCCUUCCAAAGAAGAGAUCAAGCCAUAACGUAGUUCAAAUGAGUGAUGAAUUUAAUAGUGAUUUUGAUGAUGAUUUUGCCGUACACAGUUUAUGCUCUUGUGGGCCAGGAGCUUUGGUGUUGCCUUUUAUGCUCGUGCAGACCAGGAGCGUUGAUGUCGCCUUUUAUGCUCGUGUGGGUCAGGAGCGUUGAUGUUGCCUUUUAUGCUCGUGCAGACCAGGAGCUUUGUGCCAUGCAGUUUAGACUCGUGCGGGCAAGGAGCUUUGGUUCGUGCAGUUUAGGCUCAUGCGAACAAGGAGCAUUGGUUCGUGCAGUUUAGGCUCGUGCGAACAAGGAGCAUUGGUGUUGCCUUUUAUGCUCGUGCAGACCAGGAGCUUUGUGCUAUGCAGUUUAGACUCGUGCGGGUGAGGAGAAUUUGUGAAUUUUGUCAAGCACUUUUGGAGAGGCGUUCCUUACAAUCUUCAUAGCAAGGAGCCUUGACCGAGUGAUUGAAGAAGUCUUCGGGAAAGAAGUCGCACAUCGUGAUGGCAACAGACGAUCUUUGUGUCGUAAUUUCAUCAUCUUCAACACGUUCACGUUGCUUUGAAGGUUGACAAGAGCUGCUUUGCCCCCUUUCCGAUUGGCGGACUUGUGGAGGAGACGUAUGCUUCUUGUGCCAUUUCUUAGGAGUGACUUGAGUCCAUCCUUCAAGUUUGCUUGUUUUGGAGGAUGCCCCCGGCGGUUGAGGUGAAAAUUUUGUGUUGAAAGAGCCAGAAGUGAUGGUGGUAUAGUUUGACUUCACCACAUCGUCAAGAUCUAGCUCGAUGAUUCCUUUCUGAGCCCACUUUAUGAUGAGAUCUUUCAGCACAAAGCACUUUUCUGUCGGAUGACUGAUGAAGCGGUGGAAUUUACAGUAUCUUGGACUGUUGGUACGAUUCAUCUCUUCCGGCCAUCUGCACUCAGGCAAACUGAUCACCUUCUUGUCCAACAGGUCAUCCAACAUGGCAACCACAUCAGAGUCAGGGAAUGGAUAAGUCUUCUCUUUAAGCUCCUUCAAAGUGCGUCUACGCAUCUCUUGAUCACGAAAAGCUUCGGUUUGAAUCGUUUUGCCUCGUGUGGAGAUUUUGACGGGAGAUGUGUUGACUGUCAUUGCUUCCUUGGUGGAUUUCCACGUAGCCUUCUCCACCUUUGUCUCAAGAAUUUUGUCGUUCUUGUAGUCGGCGAUCGGUUCCUUCUUCCCAUGAUGGGUGAUGCUCAACUCCAUGUCAUGGGCGUGGGUGGCCAAUUCCUCGAAGGUCCGUGGUUUAAUGCCUUGAAGGAUGUAUUGCAAACCUCAUUGCAUGCCUUGGAUGCACAUCUCGAUUGAAGAGGUCUCCGAGAGCCUAUCUUUGCAGUCGAGGCUUAGAGUGCGCCAUCUGUUGAUGUAGUCAAUGACCGGCUCAUCUUUCCAUUGCUUCAUACUUGUGAGCUCCAACAUGCUUACAGUGCGGCGGGUGUUGUAGAAGCGGUUGAGGAAUUCCCGCUCCAAUUGCUCCCAGCUGUUGAUGGACUCAGGCUCUAGGUCCGUGUACCACUCAAAUGCGUUUCUUUUCAGCGAGCGCAUAAACUGCUUGGCGAAGUAGUCCCCCUCCGUCCCCGCGUUGUUGCAAGUUUUGACGAAAUGUGCAACGUGCUGCUUUGGGUUUCCUUUUCCAUCAAACUGCAUGAACUUUGGUGGUUGAUAUCCCAUCGGCAUCUUUAGGGCAUCAAUCUUCUUUGAAUAAGGCUUUGAGUACAACCCGGAGGUAUUUGAGCUCCCUUCGUACUAUGCCUUGACGGUGCUGGCAAUCAUCUCUUGCAACUGUUGGAUAGAAAGAGAUCCCAUGAGUGCCGCUUCUUGGUCUGGCUCCGGCUUCACAUCGAUUUUCUCCACCGUAGGCUCAUCUUCUGGGUUAGGGUUCUCGCUGUCCUGUGGCUCCAGUUGACUGAUGAGUGCAGCGAUUUGCAAGUCUUUUUCUUCCACAGUUCGGGUUAGCCUUGCGAUUGCUUCAUUCAUUUGAGCCAGUUGUUCUUCGAUGGAGGUAACGCCGAUGGUCAUGACUUGUGCAACCAAUAGACGUGACUUUCCUUUAGACAUCCAAGAUGCUGAAGAAGAACGUCAUUGGUUGUUUUGGGAUGUCAUCUUGUGUGCCUCAGCAACAUGCUUUGGUGCCCCCAGCGAGGUCAGGUUGAUGACAGACUCACACCUUUGAUGCUCCCUUUGCUCUUUUAGCGGCACCAACUUUGAAGUGGCAUGUUAAGGAGCGGUUGUGGUGCUAAUGGAUUGUCCAUUUGCGGCAGAAGUGCUUAGGAUCCUUCCCUCAGUGAUUGCGAGAACGGCUUGUCCCUUGCUUGAUGCCAUUGAUUUUGAGGUGUGUUUGGAUUCCUUAAACGGAGAAAGAUAUGAGAGGUAGAGAUUGUCCCACCGGGCGUGCCAAUUUGUGAACACGAAAAUUUCCUGAAACGAAAGAGACAAGAACAACGUGCACAAAAUAAUAUUUUGGUGUUAAUGGAUUUGUUGGGUUACGAUCUCUUUUAACUUGAUCCUCUGAUUCGAUCUCCGUAAGGUGUUGAUUUAUGGAUGUUUCGUUGAUCUAAGGGCCGUCGAGGCUUGAUCUUGGAUGAACUGUUGGAAGUUUCUUCAAGGGGCCGUGGGCUUGAUCUUUGAAGGUGGAUUUGAGCGGAUCUUCAAGGAGCCGUUGGGGCUUGAUCUUGAGGAUGAGUGUUUCUUCAAGGGCCGUUAAGGCUUGAUCUUGAAUAACGGUGAUGAACGGAUCUUCAAGGGCUUUUGGGCUUGAUCUUGAAGAACGGUUGGAUGUGUGGAUUUGUUGAUGUUGUUGAUCCAAGGGCCGUCGGGGCUUGAUCUUGGAAGAACGAUGAACGAAGAACGAAGAACACUUUCUUCAAAGGCCGUCGGGGCUUGAUCUUGAAUUGGUGAUUGUUGAUCCAAGGGCCGUCGGGGCUUGAUCUUGGAAGAACGGUGAACGAAGAAUGAAGAACGAAGAACACUUUCUUCAAGGGCCGUCGGGGCUUGAUCUUGAAUUGGUGAUUGUUAAUCAAAGGGCCGUCGGGGCUUGAUCUUGGAAGAACGAUGAACGAAGAACGAAGAAGGCUUUCUUGAUUCUUCGGGAUGAACGGAUGAUGAACAAUGAACACUUUCUUCAAGGGCCAUCGGGGCUUGAUCUUGAAUUGGUGGAAGUUCUUCAGGGCCUUUGGGGCUUGAUCUUGAAGGUGGAUGAUUGUUGAUCCAAGGGCCGUCGGGGCUUGAUCUUGGGAUGAACAGUUGUGUGGAUUUGUUGAACACUUUCUUCAAGGGCCGUCGAUGCUUGAUCUUGAAUUGGUGGAAGUUCGUCAAGGGCCGUUGGGGCUUGAUCUUGAAGAAGGAUUUGACGAAGAACGAAGAGAGCUUUCUUGAUCCUUCGGAAUUUGCUUGAAUUUGGGAGGUUGGAUGCUUGAAAGCUUUAGAGUUUCAAAGCUUCAAGGAUUUUGGAUGUGUGGGGAGUAUUCUCUUACAUUUUGGGAGUAGAGAAAUGUAUUUGUGAAUUGGUUUUUGAUACCUUGAUGUAGAAGCCUAUUUAUAGGCUUUGAGAAUGAAUCACCACCACAAAAUAUUUUUUUCUUUUCCAAGCACCAUUGCCUAAUUUCCCACUUAAUACAAUUUUAAACUUGAAGUGGUAAUUUUAUGGCCUAAUUUUCCACUUAAUAUCAUUUUAAACUUGAUAUGUGCAUGCUUUGUCAUUGCCCAAAAUGAGAAGAAAACCUUGUUUUGAUCUUCAAUGGAUUGAAAUGUGCUUUGCCUUGUCAUUGCCCAAAAUGAGAAGAAAAACUUGUGUAAUCCUCCAAGGGUAUUUCUUUUUAUUUUGUUGAGUCACACACCAUGUGUACAAUUUGUAUGACACGUGGCAUAUGCCAUAUAUGCCUUGACACGUCAAAAUUUUAAUGCGUUGGUGAACAUUUAUUUCACCGCAAUUUCGAUGUCUACAAUUUCAUUUCUUGUGAAUAAUGUUUAUCCUGUGUUCUGUCCAAUCGCGUAUUAAAAAAUGUGUGAAGUUUGGAUUAACCACACUCUUUUAGAAUUUCCUUUAUUUACCACUUUUUGAGAAUUUCCAAUAAGACUGGGUGAGUCUCCGCUGAGAAUUUCCUCAACUAACACCACACUACUUGAGGGAUAAUUUGUUAUAUCUUUGAAUAAAGAAUAAAACAGUUUCCUACUUUUGAAGGUACUAUUAACUUACACUAUAUUUGGAUGAAGGUCAAACUUUAUAAAUUGACAUACACCAAAUUCUUUGUUUGGAUUCAUAAACAUAUAAAUUUAGAAUUUCCGCGUGGAAAAAAAAAAUACUUAGAAUUUGAGACCUCCAAUUCUCAAAUUGAAAGUUUAAAAAUAAUAAAUUCCGUAUUCAAUUCAAUUGUUCUUUUAGGUUAACCAAAUAAGAAAAUUCACAAAUUCUAAAAUAUAAAAUCUCAUCAUUUCAAUUUCCGUCAUUUUAAAAUUCCUUAGUAAUAUUAAAUUUCUUCAUCCAAACAUAGUGUUAAGAAAUUUUUUAAAGAUACACUAUUUACACUCAUUUUUAUUUCUUACACAUUUAUUAACUUUGUCCAUUGAUUUCUUCAAUUCAUUUUGCCAGUUAUACAAAAAUUGAGAACAGUAUUUAUGAAUUAAAAAUACAUUUGUAGAUGUCACUACCAAAUUUUUAUUCCUAAUUCAAGAAAAUCUUAUCCAUAUAUGAUUGCCCUUGCCCACUUUAAAUGGGUGCCAUCACUUUACGAUAGAGCAAUCCUAACCGUCCACCUAGGUAAGCAUAACUGGCGAUGCAUGUCGCAAGGGGACCGCAUUGCACAAUAUAAUUAUACUAGUUGAUAAGACAAGUGAUGUCAAUCAAUAAAUUAUUUCAUUAAAACUUAGUUGUAUGUAUCAUAUGUUGUAAUGUAGGGUGUAUGAUAUGCUGACGCUGUAAAAAAAUGUAACCUUUUUAAUAUUACUCAUAAUAGUAAGACUUACCAGUAUUAGGAUGUUAUCAGUGGAAUGAGAAUCCUCUCCAGAUCUUUUUUGUGAGCUAUUAUUUGUAUUUAAUUUUAAAUAUAAAAAAUUAAAAUAAUUUAUGACGGCAGUGAUUCACAUGAUCUUCACAAAGAGAAUCCAAAUAAUCUUAAUUUAUAUCAGUGUGUCUAGAUAACAUGAUCGAGCCCCUUUACUUUUACCCUAUUUAGUAUUUUACAUUUGAACCUGUAAAUAUUCGAUUUUUCUUUGGUGCAACCGAGCACCAAAUAUAGAUUUUUUUUCACUUUUAUAUAAUGAUAAAUAAAGGGCAAUUGGCAGAUUUGAAUUCCAUUCGGAUUGGUCAAAAAUCAUUUUAAAUUGUUUUAUUUAAAAUUAAACACAUAUAGUACUUAAUAAAAAUUAGUCGUACAAUAUACGAUAAACAGAUAUAAUGUAAGGACCUUUAUGAUCUUCACAAAAAAGAUCCAAAGGUUGUGUAGCUGUUUCAAAAGGAUAAUACUCACUUUUGAUUAGUUCAAUGAAAUUUUAAACAUGUUUUAUUGUUUUAAAAAAUAAUAAACAUAUUUAUUAAUGUUUGUUUUACUUUAAAAAAUAAGCAGCACUUGACAACAUUUGAUUGUGCUAAAUAAAAAAUGAGUGACCACUUAGUACUACAGUCUUAUGAUAUUUUUCUUCAUUUGAAAGUGAGAGGUUUUAAGUUCGAAUCUCGUGGAUGACGAAUUUGAUAUCAAAUUAGAUUGCUCACUAUGUGGCUUAGCCGAACUCUCAUUUCCUUUAAUGUAAAAAUAUUGAUGUAUUCAAAAAAAUAAAAAGUGACUAUAGAGGACACUCAAUCUCAGCUGUAUGAUUAAAUCAGACGGUAAGAAAAAUUCUGCAAGCAUACUCGGUUACAUUAAUUGAAGAAAAAAUGGGUAAAUAUUGGGCACCAACGUUAUAAAUACCCUCCACCAUGCACCCAACUCCCUCACACCAUCACAACCCACGUUACAAAUCCUCCUCCUCAUCAUAACCAUUCUGUUUUCCGCAUAAUAUCCAAAAACCUAUCAUGUCUGAAGAGAAACACCACCGCGGUCUCUUCCACCACCACAAGGAUGAAGACAAACCCUCAGACUACCCUCAGUCUGGCUACUCUGAUGAAGGACGUCCCGGCGGCCUCGGUGGUGGUUACGGCGACACCAAUGAUUAUUCUGGUGAAGGACGUACCGGCGGCCUAGGUGGUGGCUAUGGCGACACCAAUGCUUAUUCUGGUGAAGGACGUCCCGGCGGCUAUGGCGGCUAUAACGAGACCACUGCUUACUCUGAGGAAAGAGUUGAAAGACCCGGCGGUGGCCGGUACAGUGAGACUACUGCGGCAUAUGGCAGCACCACCACUCAUGAAUCUGAACUUGAUUACAAGAAGGAGGAGAAGCACCACAAGCAU
rnacentral:lncRNA from 1 species